rnacentral:rRNA from 1 species
GGCGGUAUGCUUUAACAUGCAAGUCGUACGAGAGUUUUUAACUCAAGUGGCGGACGGGUGAGUAACACGUAAGAAUUUGCCUUUAGGAGGGGGAUAACAACUGGAAACAGUUGCUAAUACCCCAUAUGCUUUCGAGUGAAAUGGAUUUUUCCGCCUAGAGAGAAGCUUGCGGCUGAUUAGCUUGUUGGUGAGGUAAUGGCUCACCAAGGCGACGAUCAGUAUCUGGUUUGAGAGGAUGAUCAGACACACUGGAACUGAGACACGGUCCAGACUCCUACGGGAGGCAGCAGUGGGGAAUUUUCCGCAAUGGGCGAAAGCCUGACGGAGCAAUACCGCGUGAGGGAUGACGGCCUAUGGGUUGUAAACCUCUUUUUUCAGGGAGGAAUCAAUGACGUGUACCUGAAGAAUAAGCAUCGGCUAACUCCGUGCCAGCAGCCGCGGUAAGACGGAGGAUGCAAGUGU